rnacentral:rRNA from 1 species
AUUGAACGCUGGCGGCAGGCCUAACACAUGCAAGUCGAACGAGUGGCGGACGGGUGAGUAAUGUCUGGGAAAAUGCCCGAUGGAGGGGGAUAACUACUGGAAACGGUAGCUAAUACCGCAUACCAUCGGAUGUGCCCAGAUGGGAUUAGCUAGUAGGUGGGGUAACGGCUCACCUCGGCGACGAUCCCUAGCUGGUCUGAGAGGAUGACAAGGAACAAAGUAACUGAGACACGGGCCAGACUCCUACGAGAGGCAUCAGUAGGGAAGAUUGCACAAGGGACGCGAGCCUAAUGCAGACAUGCCGCGUGUAUGAAGAAGGCAUUCGGGUUGAAAAGUACUUUCAGCGAGGAGGCGUUACUCACAGAAAAAGCACCGGCUAACUCCGUGCCAGCAGCCGCGGUAGUUC